GCCUUCAUCCCAGCAGCCGAAAACCCUACCCUGUCUUCCCUUUCACCUUCAGCAAGUUCACCAAACUUGAAGCCCAUAGCAAUACCCACGGUUCCUUAUCUUGUUCCAUGGAGGAUGGAAACAGAAAUCUGAGAUAGGGGGCAGAGAAGGGGGAAAUCGUAAACACAACACACACCCAUGAAGCACCGUUGGCCAAACUGAGAAGAGGGGAGAUGAGGAAGCACGGCGCCGGCGGGCGUCACUAUCGCAGCGCCGCCGUGUUGCAUCAGGGAGGAUGAGCGAGCGGGGAACAACCACGAGAGAGAGAGGGUCGCGCCGCCACGGUCGUCCAGGAGAAACGCCGGAGAAGAAGCUGCUGCGCUGCCCAGAACCGCAUUCGACCCGCCGCCGAUCAAGCUCCAGUUGCCGUCACCCUCGUGCAGUCGCUGCCGCGAAGUGGCCUUGCAUCUGCCGCCGUCUUCGUGGGGCUUGUGGGGUCGCGGUCGCUCCUCGCCGUGGAGCCCGUGUCGUUGCCUUUCAGCGACCGCCAGAGCAGAAACGCGCACGAGGGAGCUACGGAGAGGAUGAGGUGCGAUGGUGGUGGGUGGUUCCACCAUCCUUGUCGUGCCGUCAGAGUUUGCCGCCAUGGCUGCUGGUCUCCUAGCUGCUGCUGUGGUUGGGGGUAUGCUGUGUAUGGUCGCCAGAAAGCCUCUCUGCCAUUGCCGGAAAACCUCUCUGCCGCCGGAGGCCGCUCUACUGGUAAGGGUGUUAAAUUUGUGGUUUCGGUCAUUUUGGAUUUUGAGAAGGUUUUGAUGCUGCGCGGUUUUUAUAGUUGAUCCACCGGAGCUUCUGGCCACCGUCGGAGCUGUUGCCGGGGCCGGUUCGAAAUUGCACCUGCUUCGUUUUGUUAAUUCAAGUCGUUGAGAUUGUUGCAAAAAACAAGCGGAGCCGGGAUUUUGGUUGUUGAUUUCGGAUUGAGGCGGAAGGGACUCUGUGAGACGUUUGGGUUAUGGAAUUUGCGUUUUGAGGAUAUGAGCGCAGAAGUCACGAAGAGUUUAUUUAGUUGUUGUUGAAAUGCUCUGUAUUGCUUUAGAUUAUUAUUUAUUGUACCCUCGCCUUUAUCUUGAUAUAUUUUGUAAGAGGGAUAGAAAUUGUAUUGG